rnacentral:misc_RNA from 1 species
GAUGAAGAACGCAGCGAAAUGCGAUAAGUAAUGUGAAUUGCAGAUUUCAGUGAAUCAUCGAAUCUUUGAACGCACCUUGCGCCUUGUGGUAUUCCACAAGGCAUGCCCGUUUGAGUAUCAUUAAAUCAUCAACUCUAAAACCUUUGUGGUUUUUUUUAGAGCUUGGUCUUGAGGGUUUUGCAGGCUUUUUUUUUUUUUUCGAGUCUGCUCCCUUUAAAUGCAUUAGCGAGACUUCCCUAUGCUGAACCGUCUCUUUGACGUGAUAAUUAUCUGCGUCGAAUUUUGGUUCUCGUUGGGCUUGCUUCUAAUCGUCUGUUAAAGACAAAACGGAUUUGGGUGCAUAUAUGCGCCUUUUUCCAAAACCUUUUUUUGAUCUCAAAUCGGGUAGGACUACCCGCUGAACUUAAGCAUAUCAAUAAGCGGAGGA